UAUGGCCGUACUACCCUGAACACUCUCAAUCUUGGCUGAUCUCAGAAGCUAAGCAGGAUUGGGCCUGAUUAGUACUUGGAUGGGAGAAAAAUUGGGAGAAAGCCAUGU
ensembl:rRNA 5S_rRNA 5S ribosomal RNA